rnacentral:rRNA from 1 species
AUUGAACGCUGGCGGCAGGCUUAACACAUGCAAGUCGAGCGGAGAUGAGGUGCUUGCACCUUAUCUUAGCGGCGGACGGGUGAGUAAUGCUUAGGAAUCUGCCUAUUAGUGGGGGACAACAUUCCGAAAGGAAUGCUAAUACCGCAUACGUCCUACGGGAGAAAGCAGGGGAUCUUCGGACCUUGCGCUAAUAGAUGAGCCUAAGUCGGAUUAGCUAGUUGGUGGGGUAAAGGCCUACCAAGGCGACGACCUGUAGCGGGUCUGAGAGGAUGAUCCGCCAAAAUGGGACGGGGACACGGCCCAGACUACUACGGGAGGCAGCAGUGGGGAAUAUUGGGCAAUGGGGGGAACCCUGAUCCAGCCAUGCCGCGUGUGUGAAGAAGGCCUUAUGGUUGUAAAGCACUUUAAGCGAGGAGGAGGAUACUGAGACUAAUACUCUUGGAUAGUGGACGUUACUCGCAGAAUAAGCACCGGCUAACUCUGUGCCAGCAGCCGCGGUAACAC